rnacentral:misc_RNA from 1 species
UAGCCUGUUCUUUAAUCCUUAGAGAAUCAGGAGAAGAAGAUGGAUUCUCUAGCAUGCGGUAAUAGAUAGAAAUGGAUUCAGAUGGCGUUUUUGCUUCUAAAGCCUGAGCAAUUGAAUCAGUAGUCGCAGGGAGAUAUGAUGUAGACAUUGUCAAUGAUUUUAAAUGCAAGUCCUGAGCCGCAGAAGAUCGAGCAGUUGAU